GACGAACGCUGGCGGCAUGCCUAAUACAUGCAAGUCGAGCGAAUGACGAAGAAGCUUGCUUCUUCUGAUUUAGCGGCGGACGGGUGAGUAACACGUGGGCAACCUGCCCUGUAGAUUGGGAUAACUCCGGGAAACCGGGGCUAAUACCGAAUAAUCCAUUUCCUCACAUGGGGAGAUGUUAAAAGACGGCAUCUCGCUGUCACUACAGGAUGGGCCCGCGGCGCAUUAGCUAGUUGGUGAGGUAACGGCUCACCAAGGCGACGAUGCGUAGCCGACCUGAGAGGGUGAUCGGCCACACUGGGACUGAGACACGGCCCAGACUCCUACGGGAGGCAGCAGUAGGGAAUCUUCCACAAUGGACGAAAGUCUGAUGGAGCAAUGCCGCGUGAGUGAAGAAGGUUUUCGGAUCGUAAAACUCUGUUGUGAGGGAAGAACAAGUAUGAGAGUAACUGCUCGUACCUUGACGG
rnacentral:rRNA from 1 species